rnacentral:rRNA from 1 species
AACGAACGCUGGCGGCAUGCCUAACACAUGCAAGUCGAACGAGGCCUUCGGGUCUAGUGGCGCACGGGUGCGUAACGCGUGGGAAUCUGCCUUGGGGUACGGAAUAACGCUUCGAAAGGGGUGCUAAUACCGUAUGAUGUUUUCGGACCAAAGAUUUAUCGCCCUGAGAUGAGCCCGCGUGGGAUUAGCUAGUUGGUGGGGUAAAGGCCUACCAAGGCGACGAUCCAUAGCUGGUCUGAGAGGAUGAUCAGCCACACUGGGACUGAGACACGGCCCAGACUCCUACGGGAGGCAGCAGUGGGGAAUAUUGGACAAUGGGGGCAACCCUGAUCCAGCAAUGCCGCGUGAGUGAUGAAGGCCUUCGGGUUGUAAAACUCUUUUGCCAGGGACGAUGAUGACGGUACCUGGAGAAUAAGCCCCGGCUAACUUCGUGCCAGCCGCCGCUGUAAAAC